rnacentral:rRNA from 1 species
AGUCUGGUGCCAGCAGCCGCGGUAAUUCCAGCUCCAAUAGCGUAUAUUAAAGUUGUUGUGGUUAAAAAGCUCGUAGUUGGAUCUCAGUUCGAUUCAGGCGGUCCACUUGCCAGUGGCUACUGCCUGACUGAACACUUUACCGAGUUGUCCUAUGGUGUUCUUCACCGAGCGUCAUAGGCGAUCGGUACGUUUACCUUGAAAAAAUUAGAGUGCUCAAAGCAGGCGUAACGCCCGAAUAAUGUUGCAUGGAAUAAUGGAAUAGGACCUCGGUUCUAUUUUGUUGGUCUUCGGAAUCAGAGGUAAUGAUCAAUAGGGACAGACGGGGACAUUCGUAUUGCGGCGCUAGAGGUGAAAUUCUUGGACCGUCGCAAGACGAACUAAAGCGAAAGCAUUUGUCAAGAAUGUUUUCAUUAAUCAAGAACGAAAGUUAGAGGUUCGAAGGCGAUCAGAUACCGCCCUAGUUCUAACCAUAAACGAUGCCAACCAGUAAUUCGUCUGAGUUCCUUAAAUGACUCGACGAGGGACUUCCGGGAAACCUAAGUCUUUCGGUUCCAGGGGAAGUAUGGUUGCAAAGCUGAAACUUAAAGAAAUUGACGGAAGGGCACCACCAGGAGUGGAGCCUGCGGCUUAAUUUGACUCAACACGGGAAAACUCACCCGGCCCGGACACUGGAAGGAUUGACAGAUCGAGAGCUCUUUCUUGAUUCAGUGGGUGGUGGUGCAUGGCCGUUCUUAGUUGGUGGAGUGAUUUGUCUGGUUAAUUCCGAUAACGAACGAGACUCUAGCCUACUAAAUAGAUCGUCGGCUUACAAACGCCGGCGAGACUUCUUAGAGGGACAGGCGGUGAUUCAACCGCACGAAACAGAGCAAUAACAGGUCUGUGAUGCCCAUAGAUGUCCGGGGCCGCACGCGCGCUACACUGAAGUGAUCAGCGUGCUUUUUCAACCUACUCUGUCAAGAGUGGGGAACCCAAUGAACCUUCUUCGUGAUUGGGAUAGGGGAUUGUAAUUAUUCCCCUUGAACGAGGAAUUCCCAGUAAGCGCGAGUCAUAAGCUCGCGUUGAUUACGUCCCUGCCCUUUGUACACACCGCCCGUCGCUACUACCGAUUGAAUGUUUUAGUGAGGUCUUCGGACUGGCCGGCGCAGCACUCUCGUAGUGCAGCGCUGUGUUUGGAAAGAUGUCCAAACUUGAACAUUUAGAGGAAGUAAAAGUC